UUUUUUUUUUUUUUUUUGUGUAAAAAUUACUUUUUCAAUUAUAUUUGACAAUACAGUGCUCUAAUAGGAUAUAUACAUUGAAAAUUAAUAUAUUUUACAGUAAAACAAAUACUGUGAAUCAUCAAACAAAGGUUCCAUACUCUAAGCAUUUGAAGAUAGACUUCAGCAUCCAGAAUGUUUCUGUAAACCACCUUUUUUUUUUUUUUUUUAAGGAUAUAAAUGUAGAAAAUUGUGUACAUGAGCUUGACCUAUAAUUGUGUGCCAUGACUGCUUUUAUAAGUCUUUUCAUGAAAAACAUAGUACUUUAUAUACCAGUACAUGUUUUAUUGGAGAUUUCAUCAAUUAAAUAAUGGCAUAGACACUA